rnacentral:rRNA from 1 species
UAUUCAUUUGGCUAUGUUUGAUUGGUUUUAGGUUGGGGUGACCACGGAGCAUAAAAUAACCUCCACGAAGAAGAGACUAAUAAUCUUUAUCAAAGAAGUACACUUCUAAGAAUUAACAAAUUAAUUUCCAAUGAUCCGAUAUUCGAUCAACGAACCAAGUUACCCUGGGGAUAACAGCGCAAUCCACCUCAAGAGCUCCUAUCGACAGGUGGGUUUACGACCUCGAUGUUGGAUCAGGAUAUCCCAGUGGUGUAGCAGCUACUAAGGGUUCGUUUGUUCAACGAUUAAAAUCCU